GGGUUGUGAGGUUAAGCGACUAAGCGUACACGGUGGAUGCCCUGGCAGUCAGAGGCGAUGAAGGACGUGCUAAUCUGCGAUAAGCGUCGGUAAGGUGAUAUGAACCGUUAUAACCGGCGAUUUCCGAAUGGGGAAACCCAGUGUGAUUCGUCACACUAUCAUUAACUGAAUCCAUAGGUUAAUGAGGCGAACCGGGGGAACUGAAACAUCUAAGUACCCCGAGGAAAAGAAAUCAACCGAGAUUCCCCCAGUAGCGGCGAGCGAACGGGGAGCAGCCCAGAGCCUGAAUCAGUGUGUGUGUUAGUGGAAGCGUCUGGAAAGGCGUGCGAUACAGGGUGACAGCCCCGUACACAAAAAUGCACAUGCUGUGAGCUCGAUGAGUAGGGCGGGACACGUGGUAUCCUGUCUGAAUAUGGGGGGACCAUCCUCCAAGGCUAAAUACUCCUGACUGACCGAUAGUGAACCAGUACCGUGAGGGAAAGGCGAAAAGAACCCCGGCGAGGGGAGUGAAAAAGAACCUGAAACCGUGUACGUACAAGCAGUGGGAGCACGCUUAGGCGUGUGACUGCGUACCUUUUGUAUAAUGGGUCAGCGACUUAUAUUCUGUAGCAAGGUUAACCGAAUAGGGGAGCCGAAGGGAAACCGAGUCUUAACUGGGCGUUAAGUUGCAGGGUAUAGACCCGAAACCCGGUGAUCUAGCCAUGGGCAGGUUGAAGGUUGGGUAACACUAACUGGAGGACCGAACCGACUAAUGUUGAAAAAUUAGCGGAUGACUUGUGGCUGGGGGUGAAAGGCCAAUCAAACCGGGAGAUAGCUGGUUCUCCCCGAAAGCUAUUUAGGUAGCGCCUCGUGAAUUCAUCUCCGGGGGUAGAGCACUGUUUCGGCAAGGGGGUCAUCCCGACUUACCAACCCGAUGCAAACUGCGAAUACCGGAGAAUGUUAUCACGGGAGACACACGGCGGGUGCUAACGUCCGUCGUGAAGAGGGAAACAACCCAGACCGCCAGCUAAGGUCCCAAAGUCAUGGUUAAGUGGGAAACGAUGUGGGAAGGCCCAGACAGCCAGGAUGUUGGCUUAGAAGCAGCCAUCAUUUAAAGAAAGCGUAAUAGCUCACUGGUCGAGUCGGCCUGCGCGGAAGAUGUAACGGGGCUAAACCAUGCACCGAAGCUGCGGCAGCGACGCUUAUGCGUUGUUGGGUAGGGGAGCGUUCUGUAAGCCUGUGAAGGUGUGCUGUGAGGCAUGCUGGAGGUAUCAGAAGUGCGAAUGCUGACAUAAGUAACGAUAAAGCGGGUGAAAAGCCCGCUCGCCGGAAGACCAAGGGUUCCUGUCCAACGUUAAUCGGGGCAGGGUGAGUCGACCCCUAAGGCGAGGCCGAAAGGCGUAGUCGAUGGGAAACAGGUUAAUAUUCCUGUACUUGGUGUUACUGCGAAGGGGGGACGGAGAAGGCUAUGUUGGCCGGGCGACGGUUGUCCCGGUUUAAGCGUGUAGGCUGGUUUUCCAGGCAAAUCCGGAAAAUCAAGGCUGAGGCGUGAUGACGAGGCACUACGGUGCUGAAGCAACAAAUGCCCUGCUUCCAGGAAAAGCCUCUAAGCAUCAGGUAACAUCAAAUCGUACCCCAAACCGACACAGGUGGUCAGGUAGAGAAUACCAAGGCGCUUGAGAGAACUCGGGUGAAGGAACUAGGCAAAAUGGUGCCGUAACUUCGGGAGAAGGCACGCUGAUAUGUAGGUGAAGUCCCUCGCGGAUGGAGCUGAAAUCAGUCGAAGAUACCAGCUGGCUGCAACUGUUUAUUAAAAACACAGCACUGUGCAAACACGAAAGUGGACGUAUACGGUGUGACGCCUGCCCGGUGCCGGAAGGUUAAUUGAUGGGGUCAGCGCAAGCGAAGCUCUUGAUCGAAGCCCCGGUAAACGGCGGCCGUAACUAUAACGGUCCUAAGGUAGCGAAAUUCCUUGUCGGGUAAGUUCCGACCUGCACGAAUGGCGUAAUGAUGGCCAGGCUGUCUCCACCCGAGACUCAGUGAAAUUGAACUCGCUGUGAAGAUGCAGUGUACCCGCGGCAAGACGGAAAGACCCCGUGAACCUUUACUAUAGCUUGACACUGAACAUUGAGCCUUGAUGUGUAGGAUAGGUGGGAGGCUUUGAAGUGUGGACGCCAGUCUGCAUGGAGCCGACCUUGAAAUACCACCCUUUAAUGUUUGAUGUUCUAACGUUGACCCGUGAUCCGGGUUGCGGACAGUGUCUGGUGGGUAGUUUGACUGGGGCGGUCUCCUCCUAAAGAGUAACGGAGGAGCACGAAGGUUGGCUAAUCCUGGUCGGACAUCAGGAGGUUAGUGCAAUGGCAUAAGCCAGCUUGACUGCGAGCGUGACGGCGCGAGCAGGUGCGAAAGCAGGUCAUAGUGAUCCGGUGGUUCUGAAUGGAAGGGCCAUCGCUCAACGGAUAAAAGGUACUCCGGGGAUAACAGGCUGAUACCGCCCAAGAGUUCAUAUCGACGGCGGUGUUUGGCACCUCGAUGUCGGCUCAUCACAUCCUGGGGCUGAAGUAGGUCCCAAGGGUAUGGCUGUUCGCCAUUUAAAGUGGUACGCGAGCUGGGUUUAGAACGUCGUGAGACAGUUCGGUCCCUAUCUGCCGUGGGCGCUGGAGAACUGAGGGGGGCUGCUCCUAGUACGAGAGGACCGGAGUGGACGCAUCACUGGUGUUCGGGUUGUCAUGCCAAUGGCACUGCCCGGUAGCUAAAUGCGGAAGAGAUAAGUGCUGAAAGCAUCUAAGCACGAAACUUGCCCCGAGAUGAGUUCUCCCUGACUCCUUGAGAGUCCUGAAGGAACGUUGAAGACGACGACGUUGAUAGGCCGGGUGUGUAAGCGCAGCGAUGCGUUGAGCUAACCGGUACUAAUGAACCGUGAGGCUUAACCUUACAACGCCGAAGCUGUU
rnacentral:rRNA from 1 species